CUUGACUUGCUAACAGCCUUGUUGGAGGUUUGAAAUGACUGAACCCCACAGGAAUGCCCGAGCAGGUGUCAUCCUUCAAGGCCUUUAGGCUCAGUGGACAGCAGCUGCACCCCAACCAUGCAGGCAGAGCAGCAGCAGCCCACGGAGCUGCAGUCACUCCUCUCGGUGCAGCCCAUGGACGGGGUGUAGCGGCAGGAAUGUUGGGUGCGGUGGCUGACGGAGCCAAUCCCGGUCCUGCAGGAAUAACAUGAAGCGUGUCACCAGCCCUGCUGACGGCACAGGCCUUGAGCACUGGCCUUGAAACCGUGCCAGGGCAGCUCACCUCGUGCCAGGGACUGCGGGAUGGAGCCGGCGGGAGAGAGCACCUCGGGGUCAGGCACAGCUGGAGAAGGAGGUGGCUCCUCAGCCUUCCCGUCAGUGCCGGUGUCCCUGGGACGUGCACUUUGGGACUGAGAGCUGGCUGGGAAGUUGCCGUUGAGGCGUUUGUUGUUGGCAAAUACUAGUAUUUUGUUGAAAUUGAAGCCUUCAAUGGGAAUGUUCAUGUGUCCGUGGGGAGACCGAGUCCCCUGGUCAUAUGUCUCAGAGUCUGUCUCCCACCUCUGCCCCCCCAGCUGGUAUUAGAAUGGGUAGGUUAAUCCCCGUCCCCAUCCCCAUGUGGAACAGGAAGGUCUUGGAUUCCCAGACAGCUCAAAGAGGAAUGGCUUUUUCAGCCAGUCCUGCUCAUGUCACCUGCUAACAGAGCUCCAGCAGCACCCAGCCAGGGUGGUGGCACAGCUCAAACUGGAAGGAGGGUUUGUGAUCCGGUGUCACAGGAUCACAGGAUAAUUCUGUGGGAAAGGGGCCCCGGGAGGCCUCCGGUCCAGCCACUGGCUCCGGGCAGGUUCAGCCAUUAGGUCAGACCGGGCUGUCCAGGUCUUCAUUCCGUCGGGGCUGGAAAAGCCUGCGGGAAAGGAUCCCGACAGCCUGUCUGCACAGGCCUAACGCAUCCGGGCGGCUUUCCCCGUCUGCAUUUCCAGGGGCAUUCGAGGAGCGCGGUGGGCGGUGACGUGGCGGCUCGGGCCGUGUCCCUUGAGGCCGUGAGUCCCCGCGCCGGGACACGGGAGCGGCCGGGACACGGCCCCGGGAUGGGGCGG
rnacentral:lncRNA from 1 species